UAAUACCGCAUAACACUGCGGUUUCGCAUGAAACUGCAGUUAAAGGAGCAAUCCGCUAUGAGAUGGACCCGCGGCGCAUUAGCUAGUUGGUGAGGUAAAGGCUCACCAAGGCCACGAUGCGUAGCCGACCUGAGAGGGUGAUCGGCCACAUUGGAACUGAGACACGGCUUCCAGACUCCUACGGAGGCAGCAGUGGGGAAUAUUGCACAAUGGCCGAAAGCCUGAUGCAGCACGCGGCGUGAAGGAUGAAUGAGCCUUCGGGUUGUAACUCUUGUCUUCUGGGACGAUAUGACGGUACCAGAGAGAAGCACGCUACUCGUGCAGCAGCGCGUAAUCGUAGUGCGAGCGUGCCGAUUACUGGCGUAGGAUGCGUAGCGAAUU
rnacentral:rRNA from 1 species